CCAGCUGGCCGGACGACCGCCCCUGCAGGACCGAAAGGUCGCCGGGGAGGAAAGUCCGGGCUCCACGGAAACACGGUGCCGGAUAACGUCCGGCGGGGGCGACCCCAGGGAAAGUGCCACAGAGAGCAGUCCGCCCGGCAAGCCUUUCGGGGCAUGUCGGGUCAGGGUGAAAGGGUGGGGUAAGAGCCCACCGCGGACCCAGCAAUGGGGACGGCACGGCAAACCCCACCGGGAGCAAGACCGAAUAGGGGCGGCAUGGGCUCAUGCCCAGGCCUGUUUCCAGGCCCGCCGCCCGGGUAGGUCGCGCGAGGCGUCCGGCAACGGCCGCCCAAGAUGAAUGGUCGUCACGCGGUGGUUCGCCACCGCCUUACAGAACCCGGCUUACAGGCCAGCUGGCGCU
rnacentral:RNase_P_RNA from 1 species